GUACUGAUGAAGGGUCCCAGACUAGGACGAAACAGCUGUCCAUUAC
rfam:Trichobilharzia regenti genome assembly, scaffold: TRE_scaffold0018751